GGCCGAAGGUUUCCUCCUGAGUCAGGCAGAGGAGAGGAAGCAGGGAAAGGAUCCGUUUGCUGAAAUGGGUCCUGAUUUCUCUGAAGUAGAGAAGUCUCUGUUGGACACCAGAGAUAAGCCACUGGGUGAAAGAAGGAUGCCGGCAAGACCUCCUCCUCCAUCUCUUCAUCCUGGUGGAGGGGAAGCAGCGGCUGAGGAACCGGAUCAGGUGCGGGGAAGGAGCCAUGGGGGGAAAGGGGCUGAGGGUGAGGGACAGAGGGCAUUUCUGAGACGGAACAAAUCUCUCCCCUCCUCAUUGCUUCUGUCAAAGCUGCCCUUAACAAAGGCUGAAAAUGCCAUUAAUGAAGGUUUAUGCUCCGAGUAGCCCCUUCACCUUAACUCUGAAUGUCGCUAGUAUUAUUCGUUAUAAAUUCUCUUUGAGACAUCUGGGGAGUCUUUCCAUCCCAGAACAACACACAGGGAGAGGAGAGAGGGAUUCUUCCAUUUGGCAAACUGGAAUGCUUGCAUAGACAUAUUGAUCUGAAUAAAACAACAUGGAGUUCAUUAAAAUAAGCACCAGUAAUCCAAAUGUGCAACAGACCAAUCCAAUUAAAACAACCCAGGCAGGAAGCAAAAGAGCAACGUGCAGGAAAUAAUCUUUAUGCUGCCUAAGAGAAGGAUAUUUUUAUUUCAGAGCUCAG